UACCCACUUUCUGUUGUUGUAAACCCUUGCCUGGGCCUGCCUGUAGUCUGAUGGCAAGACUCUCCUCCCCUCCCUUCACUGGAGCCUGGCCUUUUCUCCCUAUUCUCAGAGGUUGAGGUAUCCUCAGUGUACCCCAUGGAUCAGGAUGGUCAGUCCACACACCCCCACACCCAGUGCACAAAAAUUAAGCCUAGGGUCCCUUUUCCUUCAGAGUUUGGAUCUACUCACAAAGGUGUUAAUAGAUUUAAAUAGAAUUUAUCAGUCCCAACUGCAUUCAACCUGCGGUUUCAUACUUCUCUGAAGGAAAUCUUGGCGUUCCAAUUGUGGCUCAGUGGGUUAAGACCCUGAUGCUGGAAUUCCUGCUCUGGUGGAUUGGCUGAGGCUUGGGAGUGUAGAGAUGCAGGUUCAAUCCCCAGCCUGGCACAGUGGGUUAAGGAUCCAUCAUUGCUGCAGUUGUGGCCUAGGUCCCAACUAUGGCUUGGCUCUAUUCCUGGCCCAGGAAUUCCAUAUGCUGAGAGUCAGCCAAAAAAAAAAAAAAAAAAAAAAAAAAGAAAGAAAGAAAAAGAACCUGAUGCUGUCUCUCUGAGGAUGUAGGUUCAAUUCCUAGCCUCCCUCAGUGGAUUAAGGAUCCAGUGUUGCCACAAGCUUUGUUCUGGUGUUGCUGUGGCUAUGGUAUAGGCUUGUAGCUGCAGCUCCUAUUUGACCCCUAGCCCAGGAACUUCCAUAUGCUACAGAUGUGGGCAUAAAAAGAAGAAAAGAAAAAGAAAGAAAGAAAAGAAAGAAAGAAAGAAAGAAAGAAAGAAAGAAAGAAAGAAAGAAAGAAAGAAAGAAAGAAAGAAAGAAAGAAAGAAAGAAAAUCUCUUAUUGAGANAUCUCUUAUUGAGAAUAAAGUAAAACAAACCAGUUCAAGGUUUAAUUAGUCCUGUUGAAGGAAGGUUAAAUUUGGAGCUCAGCCAGUUGUCUUCUCUCUUUCAGGUGAAAAGAGGCUCUUUAAGGAAAUGAUUGUCUGUCCAACAUGGGAAGCAUCUGAGGAGUGUUGAAAAACAUACUGAGCUGAGGCCCCAUCCUCAGCUCAGAUUCUGAUUUAAUUGAUCUGGGACUGGCUGGCCUGGGCAUUGGUAGUUCUUGAAGCUUCCAAGUUUUACUAAUCUGAUUCUCCAUCUCUAUCAGGGGUGGAUGGUCCCUAUCUCCAUUGGCUGUGGACCAGGAAUCACAUGGUCCAGUUCCUGCUGUCAGCAGAAAUCCGUGGCCUGACCGUGACACUUGUGCUUAGAGUCUUAGCACAUGGUCUGGCGCUGCUGCUGGGAAUCCUGAGUCACUCUUCUCCUGUGAUUCCUAAUGUUGAAGGGAGUCUCUGCAGAGGAGGAAGGACAGUCUGUCAGGUGAGCUCAUCACCGUAUCAUCACCGUCUGCUUCCUGACUUCCCCGGAGACUGUGUAAUGUGUGUGAAAGGGGCACUUGUCAACUUCCAGGAAUAGCACUGUCUCAUUCUGUGACCUUGGACAAGGUCACUCAAAUUCUCAGAGCCUUGGUUUCUGUAGUUAAAAUGGAAAAUGGUUCCACAGAGUCAGCACCAAUAUUUAGACAAUUAAUGUAUGGAAAGUCUUACCCAGAUCCAGACAAAUGAAAAAAAUAUUUUUAUAACACUGUAGACAUAAGGCAUAUGGAUAUUAUUUGUAUCCUCUACAUUUGCAAAAUAACUUGAGAUAUUUACAAUAUAAUAGAGGAAUGACAAAAAAAAAAGUAGAUGACCAUUCAUAGGUCAUUUAUUCACUCAACAAACAGGCAUUGGUUACUAUUUCAGGCAAGGUCUGUGAGGCACUGGGGGACUUGAUUUUUAAAGCAUUUAUAAUCUAGGAGGAAGUUUGGAUACAUACAAACAAUUCACAAGGUAAUAUUUACUGUGUAUAAACUAUGUACAUGAAGUAACUGCUAUGGCAGUUUAAACCAGAAUAAUCCCGAGGAAGGCUUAACAUAAAAUGAAGUUAAUGGCAGCCAGUUCCAACAUGUGUUGUGUUCCCAUUAUGUGCACUGCUCUAGGUAUGUGUAUAUUCAGUGAAGACUCUCAACAGAGAAAAUUGCGUGGGCUGGACCAGGGAGGCAAGAAUCUACACAUAAUGUGUGUCAGGGAAGCACCAGCUCAGGAUGGAGCAGUCCCUUAAGAAAGAUGUUGAGGAAGUUCCCUGGUGGUGCAAUGGGUUAGGGAUCUGAAGUCACUACAGAGGCUAAGGUCGCUCCUGUGAUGAGGGUUUGAUUCCUGGCCUGGGAACUUCCAAAUGCUACAGGCACGGCCAGACAUACACAGAAAAGAUGGUUGAAAUGAAUUUGAAGAAUUGUGUAGGUGUAACAUGAUGAAUGGCUUCAAAUAAAAGGUCAAGGUUUGGUCUUUGUCGUUGCCUUUUUUCUCUUUUUUUUAAGAUGGCACCUGUUGGCAUAUGGAAGUUUCCAGGCUAAGGGUUAAAUUAGAGCUGUAGCUGCCAAUCUACCCAACAGCCAUAGCAACACCAGAUCUGAGCCGCAUCUGCAACCUACACCACAGCUCAUGGCAAAGUCGGAUCUUUAACACACUGAGCAGUGACUAAUAGCUUGAACCUCAUGGAACUGGAAUGGUAGUUAAUAUUAUUUUCUUUUUUUCAUUCUCUCUCUCUCUUUUUUUUUGCGG
rnacentral:lncRNA from 1 species